GAUGAACGCUGGCGGCGUGCCUAAUACAUGCAAGUCGAGCGAACGGACGAGAAGCUUGCUUCUCUGAUGUUAGCGGCGGACGGGUGAGUAACACGUGGAUAACCUACCUAUAAGACUGGGAUAACUUCGGGAAACCGGAGCUAAUACCGGAUAAUAUUUUGAACCGCAUGGUUCAAAAGUGAAAGACGGUCUUGCUGUCACUUAUAGAUGGAUCCGCGCUGCAUUAGCUAGUUGGUAAGGUAACGGCAUACCAAGGCAACGAUGCAUAGCCGACCUGAGAGGGAGAUCGGCCACACUGGAACUGAGACACGGUCCAGACUCCGACGGGAGGCAGCAGAAGGAGAUGUUCCGCAAUGGGCGUAAGCCUGACGCUGAAGCACCGCGGGAGUGAUGAAGGUCUUGGGAUUGUAGAACUCUGUUAUUAGGGAAGAACAUAUGUGUACGUAACUGGGAGCAUCUUGACGGUACCUAAACAGAAAGCCACGGCUAACUACGUG
rnacentral:rRNA from 1 species